CACAAACAUCCAUCCAACAUUGACGGGUAGCUCUCACCAGAUAAAUAGAAUUGUCUCAAAGAAAAAACCAGAUCAAUAUUUUAGUUAUUACUAGAUCGGAAGCUAAGCCAAAAUUCCACGCAACUCCUAAGGGUCAUCGAAACAAGAUCCUCCCACGGUCGAAAAGGAGAUCCUCCCAUGAUCUCAUCCAUGGCUGCCUCUUCCCAUCAGCGGCAUGCCUGCAGUUCUCCGUCGCGUCACUAUCCCAUCCACGACCAUGGCGAUAUCAUCCACCGCCGCAUCUUCGGAUUACAGGGACGGGCGACAUUGGAGGAUGAAUAUGAACCGCGAGCGAAGCUUCAGUUCAAAAUCACUAGAGAAACUUCAGUUCAAAAUCACGAGAGAAUAUUUAGCAUGUUCGACCUGGCAAUAAAUACGCGAUGCACAUGCCCUGCAUGAUGAGAUAUACCUGGAGCUGAGCUUCUCUUCUAUGGCCAUCAAUGGGCCAGACCAAUCUGGGGAUGUCACAACAAAGUGUUGAGCAUAGGAGGCUUGGCAGGUAUUGCUGUAUUUUUCUGUUCUGCUGUAAAUUCUAAUGCAUCUUCUCUCUUUGAGUUAUUAGUUCUCUUUCUGAAGCUGGAAGGUCUCCGUGUCCUGAAAAUUUGAUGCCCUCUUUGAUGAUUUUAAAAAAAAUGCUCAAUAUCUAUAGCCAAUAUUCGAUUUUAAUUCAAAGGAUUUGAUUUUAGUAGUUUAGCUAUGUCUUCACAUAUAUAAAUAAUUCAUCAGAGGAUUGAUUUUUUAUUUUUUAUUUAUAUGAGUUACAGACAGUGGCCCUGACUAUGCAGAUACCAUGUUCACUGAUUUAAUGUUCUCAUUCUCCAUUGAUAGUUGUAGGGUUCAGAUUUUGAAUUUUUUUUGUUCUGCAGCGUUUUGGACAUGUACAUUCGAACAUUGUUGUACAAACAAUAACAGUUUGUAAACAUCCAAGUCUUAGUACAUAUUACUCUACUUGAUAUUUUAGUUUCAUACAUUUUACUUGCUCGGUUUGUAUAUGUGAGCGAAGUAACUAUUGUCGUCUGGACUGUGGGCAGUGGGAGAGCUAGCUUGCAAAUCUCAGCCAUGGUCCAUGAGGGGAAGGUAAGUAGAAGAUUAACAAAAGGUAAACAUACUGUCGGCAUAUGACCAAAUGCACGAUACUUAAAGCAAGGCUGAUGAACUAGAAAGUAUGUUGCGGAACUGAAACAAACUAUACAAUCAGCAAUCCUAGCUUCGUUUCUAUGUGUGAACAAGUAGUUGUUGUGGCCUGGACAGAGGACAUGGGAGAGCUAGAUUACAAAUCUGAGCCAUGGUCCAUGAGAGGAAGGUAAGUGGAUGAUUCACCAAACGUAGACAUCCACCAUGUGUGUGCCCCGAAAGCAGCAGAAGUUUGGCCCCAACCCCAUCAACUUGAUCAUCGAUGUGCUCAACACAGGUAUGUGAUAAUCCAAGCCCUAUGCACCUUCUCUAUCCUAUUCCAAUCAUCGUAAACCAGUCUGCUUCCUUCAUGUGUUCUGUUGGGCGGCGAUGAAGUCUGGGUAUUUGAAGAAUUUUUUUCUUUUGCUGAAUUUUCAACCGCAGUGGAUGCGUACAUUGAUUUUAUAUCAUAAGAAUUAUCAUGUUCUUGGCUCUAUCAACUUGCAAGAAAAAAAUGUUAUGCAUGGCAGACAUAUGUAUCAAUCUUGGUGUUCUGCUUCUACUAUUUGCAUACAAGCAGCUAUGUAUGUGACCUAACUCAUGUGCUACUUACGGAAAAUGAUUUUUAUCUCAGGAAGAUCGAAGUCAUUCUCUUGAACAAGACACCAUUCAGGUAGCCAAUAUAUUUACACUAAAUUCCCUUCCAUGUUGCUACUUGCAUACCAAAGGUUGAAGAUCAGCUCAUAAGCAGCAUCCAUAUCAGAAAGUUAUGCUGAAUUUCUUCUAGGGUGUGAUAGAUUUUCUCAAAAGCUUUGCAAUGAUGGAUGAUAAGGAGCUGUUUAUGUGCAUUUAAUGUUGCAAUGACCUAUGUUCUGAAAUAGAUAUAGCUUCAAAUCUGAGACCUGCCAUAAGAAAUAAUCCAAGGUAUGAACAGUUCAUUCAGUAAAACAGCAGAGCCAAUGUUUUAUUACUGAGAGCGAGAUUUAAUUAAUUGAUGGAUGCAGUGACAUAUUAUAUCUGAAGUUAUUUCUUUUUAGGUGUAUAUCUCAAGUUAUCCUGAGAGUUCAUGUUUGAUGCUGACCAAGGAGUUUGCUCUCUCAAAGUAUAGUAUACUCAUGUAGGCUGUUUUUAUAUGUUGUUCUUGCAUAAUGAGCUGUAUGCAUCCUCUCUUUGCCAACGUUAGCUAGGUUCCAUGAGGGUGUCUUUAUAUGUUAGGAUUCUGAUUACUAAGAACCAUCAUACAGUUGCACUUAUAUUAAUGUAUGGUCCAUGG